rnacentral:lncRNA from 1 species
AAAAACUUUCCUUUUUACCUUUUGUAAUUACUUAAAAAAUCAUAUAGGGUGUAUAUACACCCAAGAGCCGUGCUUGUCCUGCUAAAAUAACACUUCUUCUGUUUCUAAAUAUGUCAUUUUAGAGAUUCCAAUGCAGACUGCAUACAGAGCAAAAUGAGUGAAUCUACACUCUAAAAUACGUCCCCGUAAAAAAUACACUAAAAUACAUCUAUAUACAUCUGUACAUAGCUUAUAGUGAAAACUUUAAAAAGACUUAAAUUUAGAAACAAAGGGAGUACUAUGCUAGAAAGGAUGUUAUGCUAUACUAUACUAACGAGACUAAGGGCGUGUUUACAUGCCUUCCACGCCAUUGUACGCCUGGCUUGGAUGAUCCCUGAGUUCUACGUGACAGCUGUUUGCUUCCUGUCCUCAUAGAAAAAGAUGUCUGCCUGGCUUGGCCGUCCCUGCCAUGUGAUUAGCAUGGCAACUAGGAAUAAGAAAUUGAAAAGAGAUAGCCCAGGCAACCUCAUUAGCCUAGUCCAGGCGUCCCUCUCCAUGCGUCUGGCGUGCUACAGCAACAACCUGGCAGUAAUAACUGGCCAGUAAUUGUACAUUUGUUCUGUGAAAAUAUUUUAAACAGUCAACUCACAUCAGUCUGGCAAAGACAAUAGAUAAACACGCGGGUGGCACGCGAGUCUGGCCAAACAAUUUUUUGCUUCAUCACGGGCGUUACCCAGGCACCUUAUUUUCUCACGCACACUCACGAGGCCUCUAACCAAACAGGCUCUAAACCUGCAAAGAUUUAAUUUAUGUCUUCAUUUUGAGUUUUUUCGAGCCUUAAAUGGAUUAAUAGGCAGCCGACACAUGUAAUCCAGGGAUUUAACGAGGUACGUUCUCAUGCGCACCUUGCUUUUGCAGUCACUAGUAAGCUUGCACGUGCAAUGCAUGUCUCAUUCGACUUAAAAAUUUGAAUAUGCAAAGCUUCAGUAAAUUCCAAUCAACAUAUAGCUACUUGUAAUUCACUCUGCAAUGAUUUGUACCACCUUCAAUAUGCUCUGUGAGUUUGAAACCUGGUAGGAUCCACUACUUCAGAAAUCACAAACUUGCAUAAAGAAGCUAUAGUACCGAUUGCUCACUCUCGAGAAAACAAACUUGCAUAAAGCUUAUAUCGACAUUAAAUCAAUUGACAUAAAUUCUCUGUUGAUGAAUCAAUAGAAACCUAUUUAAUAUCAUACGCUUAUAGGGGGGUACCAGAUCAGUAUCAAAGGCAACUUACCCCUUUUCUGGUCUAAUGCACACAUGCUUGUACCAAUGAUAGCCACCACAUAUAUAAGCCUAUAUAUUGUGCGAUGCUUAGAAGGGCUGUGCUUUCAAAUUCCCAAAGAGAAGAGCACUUAUAUAGUCCGUCAAAUCGGGUCAACAAUUCAACAUGCCUGUAGAUGUCGAGUGAUGUGAGUUGACUAUAGACAAAUAGCUAAAUAAAGGAGAUGAGGAAAUUAAUAUUAGUAGUGUAAUGAACUUCAUACUGACUGCAAGUCACAUACAUGUAGUCAAGUUGAGGCCGAAAUCAUUUUUCUUGGAACAUAAUUUGGUAGCACUCCAUCAUUGCCAUGAAACCUGUAAUUUCAAAUGUCAGUCUUCAGAUACAUAAUUGUUAAUUUAAGUCUUAACUGAAUCUCUGCAAGCAAGCAUGAUGGUUUUAGCAUCAGAUACAUAAAGAUUAGGAUAACCUGGCAUAUAAAUCACCUCAAAUUAGGGUAUACCAGGAUUGUAAAAUUCAUAGUUGUAGCACGAUACUAUAUACUCCCUCCGUUCCGAAUUACUUGUCUUGGAUUUGUCUAGAUACAGAUGUAUCUAGACUCAUUUUAGUGCUGUAUCUAGACUCAUUUUAGUGCUAGAUACCUCUGUAUCUAGACAAAUCUAAGACAAGUAAUUUCGAACGGAGGGAGUAGUAUAGUGAGUAGCUUGUGCUUCAGGCCACCGACACACAACAUACUGAAAACAGUAAUACCCAUCUGAUGACUUGUACCGGUGAAAUGAUGCAAAGAAUAAGGUGAAGAGAGCAUAGAGAGAAGGUCAGACAACAUGUGAUUACGACCGACUACAUUUGGUAAAGGAAAUAGAGGAUCCUCGCCCCCAUCUAGAACCAUCCAUUAUAUAGUUUUAGUGUUCAAGUAAGUUAUUAAACCUUCUAAUAUGGAUUAGACGACAUCAUCAGCAACCUGUCGUGUGUCCAUCGGAAGUAUCAAUUGGACUACUCUGAAUGGGAAAGAUAAAAAUCCCCAAGGAUUAAAUACCGGUGAACAAAAUAAUAUCAUAACAAAAAAAAUUAUUAGACAUGCAAAACCACUACAAUUUUCAAAGUAUAUAGCUAAAUUCACUUUUAUUUUUCACUUCUGUACGUAUGCAAAAAUGUAAUAAGGAUUUUAUAGACUUGUGGUACCUCUUUUAGUUUUUUUAGUGAUGCGUCCUCAAAAGUAUAGCAAUUAAGAAAAGGCCGGCAUGCCUGCAGUGGCGGAGGCGGGAUUAGUGGGAUUAGGAUGUUGGGGAGGGACGGUCGGAGCAGAAAACAAGUCAAAUGCUGCACUGUUCAUGUGUUUAUUAUGAACAAAUCCAUAGUAUUUGGAGGGGGGCAGGGCCCCUUGCUGGUCAUGUGUUUAUCGCCACACAAUGCCUGCAAAUAAGAACAUAAUUUUUCUCACUACAAUGAUUUUGAUAGUUAAAUUUAUCGGUACACAUUUAACUGGGAACAGAAAUAUUUUAGAUGAUGUACUCCUAAUCCCUCAUUCAAACUGUUGAUUACUUCAUCUGUUGACGAACCAAAAAAAUGAUAGGGGC